CGUAGGGUGCGAGCGUUGUCCGGAAUUACUGGGCGUAAAGAGCUCGUAGGUGGUUUGUCGCGUUGUUCGUGAAAACCGGGGGCUUAACCCUCGGCGUGCGGGCGAUACGGGCAGACUGGAGUACUGCAGGGGAGACUGGAACUCCUGGUGUAGCGGUGGAAUGCGCAGAUAUCAGGAGGAACACCGGUGGCGAAGGCGGGUCUCUGGGCAGUAACUGACGCUGAGGAGCGAAAGCGUGGGGAGCGAACAGG
rnacentral:rRNA from 1 species